AAAGUCAAAAGACAAAGGCACAGAUCCACUUUAUCUUCUUUACACGCCAUUUAUUCCUUCUUUUUCCUCCUUUUUUUUUAUUUCACAGAACAUAUGCUUAUUUAUUCCACCAACAAAAACAAACAAAGGAAAUAGAUUAUCAACAAGAUCCGUGGUUUAAUGGAGCACAUCUGAUUCUAGAUCUGAAGGUUACUUGAUCUAUUCACGUUGGGUUCAAUCCCCUGAUCCAUUCGAUUUCUUUUUUCUUAUUAAACCGGUGAGCUAUAAAUAAUUAUGAAGAUUUUCUCACAGUAGGUCUAUUGGAAACAACUUCUCCACCUUCUCAAAGAGGUGAGAUUUAUGUAUACACUAUACUUUCCAAACUCCACUUAUGCGAUUACAUCGGAAUUGUUAACAUUCAUGAAGCAUAAGCUUGAAAGUCUUUGCAGUAGAUAAAUUUGAGUUCUGACAAUUUUGGUAUGACGAAAAUUGCUUUUCUAGGAUAUAUUUUGACGGAAGAAAUCAUUUUAGUGUGUUUGGUUAUUUUGAAUUAUGGAGAGUUGUAAUUUACAUUUAACCUAUAACACAAUAAAAUUAAAAAUGUGUUCCUUCAAGAAGGCAAAUAAUUUUCAUACCUUAUAGACGAAA